GACGAACGCUGGCGGCGUGCCUAAUACAUGCAAGUAGAACGCUGAAGGAGGAGCUUGCUUCUCUGGAUGAGUUGCGAACGGGUGAGUAACGCGUAGGUAACCUGCCUGGUAGCGGGGGAUAACUAUUGGAAACGAUAGCUAAUACCGCAUAAGAGUAGAUGUUGCAUGACAUUUGCUUAAAAGGUGCAAUUGCAUCACUACCAGAUGGACCUGCGUUGUAUUAGCUAGUUGGUGGGGUAAAGGCUCACCAAGGCGACGAGACAUAGCCGACCUGAGAGGGGGAUCGGCCACACUGGGACUGAGACACGGCCCAGACUCCUACGGGAGGCAGCAGUAGGGAAUCUUCGGCAAUGGACGGAAGUCUGACCGAGCAACGCCGCGUGAGUGAAGAAGGGUUUCGGAUCGUAAAGCUCUGUUGUAAGAGAAGAACGAGUGUGAGAGUGGAAAGUUCACACUGUGACGGUAUCUUACCAGAAAGGGACGGCUAACUACGUG
rnacentral:rRNA from 1 species